GCCCAUCUCACUUCCGGCCGCUGCUCCGUGCAUGCGCAUUGCCAACUGCCGCCGCUCAUGCGCAGAGCGCCGGGUGCUGGCGGCGGCCCGGGUAGCCUCGGUGCCGGUGGCGCCGCCAUGGGCUGAGGGGUCCGGUGCGAGGGUUGUCAGCGGCUGUCGGGCGGGCUGCCCCGAGGAUGGAGAGAGCCAUGGAGCAGCUCAACCGUCUCACCAGGUCCCUGCGCCGCGCCCGCACCGUGGAGCUGCCAGACGAUAAUGAAACUGCUGUUUAUACGCUAAUGCCAAUGGUGAUGGCUGACCAGCAUCGGUCUGUCUCAGAGCUGCUAUCAAAUUCAAAAUUUGAUGUGAAUUAUGCGUUUGGACGUGUGAAGAGAAGUUUGCUUCAUAUUGCAGCAAACUGCGGAUCGGUUGAAUGCCUUGUUCUGUUAUUAAAAAAAGGAGCAAAUCCAAACUAUCAGGACAUCUCAGGAUGUACACCUCUCCAUUUAGCAGCAAGGAAUGGCCAGAAAAAAUGCAUGAGCAAGCUGCUGGAAUACAGUGCAGAUGUCAACAUUUGUAAUAAUGAAGGCUUGACUGCAAUUCAUUGGUUGGCCGUCAAUGGACGAACAGAAUUGCUUCAUGAUCUUGUGCAGCAUGUCAGUAAUGUGGAUGUUGAAGAUGCAAUGGGACAGACAGCCCUUCAUGUGGCUUGUCAAAAUGGACACAAGACAACAGUACAGUGUCUGCUGGACAGUGGUGCAGAUAUCAACAGGCCCAAUGUGUCAGGAGCAACUCCACUCUAUUUUGCUUGCAGCCAUGGUCAGAGAGACACAGCACAAAUUCUUUUGAUGAGAGGAGCCAAAUAUUUACCGGACAAAAACGGCAUUACUCCACUAGAUCUCUGUGUACAGGGUGGAUAUGGAGAGACUUGUGAAGUCUUAAUACAGUACCAUCCUCGACUUUUCCAGACAAUAAUUCAAAUGACUCAGAAUGAAGAUCUACGGGAAAACAUGUUGCGGCAAGUUCUGGAACACUUGUCUCAGCAGAGUGAAAGCCAGUAUCUUAAAAUCCUGACAAGUCUUGCUGAAGUUGCUACAACUAAUGGUCACAAACUACUUAGCUUGUCAAGUAAUUAUGAAGCUCAAAUGAAGAGUCUCUUAAGGAUCGUGAGGAUAUUUUGCCAUGUCUUUCGCAUUGGCCCAUCCUCUCCCAGUAAUGGAAAUGACAUGGGCUACAAUGGAAAUAAAACUCCAAGAAGUCAGGUGUUCAAGGUCAGAAAAGUAUAUGAUGUUGUUAGGAAGAUAGACGUUAAAGAGAUGAAUUUCACAAAGCAUGCAUUCAUUAAUCAGACAUCUCAUGAACAGGAACCUCUAGAACUGCUCUGGCACUCUUUAGACGAAUGGCUAGUUCUCAUAGCCACAGAGCUGAUGAAAAACAAAAGGGACUCUGCCAACAUUACUUCUAUUUUGCUGAAGCAAAAAGGACCAGAUCACCAGGAUGCUACUCCUACGCCUUCCUUUGCUGCUGCAGGAACGGAGAGCAGAAAAGAGCUAUCCACUGACACAGGGGACUCGAAAACAUAUGAAGUUGCAGGGAAGCAGGAAGCUUAUGCUGAUUGCCAGGAUGUUAUCUCCAUGACAGCAAACAGGCUAAGUGCUGUCAUUCAAGCAUUUUAUAUGUGCUGCUCCUGUCAGAUGCCUCAGGGGAUGACAUCACCUCGUUUUAUAGAAUUUGUUUGUAAACAUGAUGAUGUCCUUAAGUGUUUUGUUAACCGGAACCCCAAAAUCAUUUUUGAUCACUUUCAUUUCCUUCUUGAGUGUCCUGAACUAAUGUCCAGAUUUAUGCACAUCAUAAAGGCUCAGCCAUUUAAAGAUCGUUGUGAAUGGUUCUAUGAACAUCUGCAUUCAGGGCAACCAGAUUCAGACAUGGUGCACAGGCCUGUCAAUGAAAAUGACAUCCUUCUAGUUCACAGAGAUUCUAUUUUUAGGAGUAGCUGUGAAGUUGUCUCUAAAGCGAAUUGUGCGAAACUAAAGCAAGGGAUUGCUGUGCGAUUUCACGGAGAAGAAGGCAUGGGACAGGGUGUGGUGCGUGAGUGGUUUGAUAUCUUGUCCAGUGAAAUAGUUAACCCAGAUUAUGCCUUAUUUACCCAGUCAGCUGAUGGAACAACCUUCCAGCCAAACAGCAACUCUUCUGUAAAUCCAGAUCAUUUGAACUACUUCCGCUUUGCAGGCCAGAUCCUGGGACUAGCUCUCAAUCACAGGCAGCUGGUGAACAUUUACUUCACAAGAUCAUUCUACAAACAUAUUCUUGGUAUACCUGUAAAUUAUCAGGAUGUAGCGUCUAUUGAUCCAGAGUAUGCAAAGAACUUGCAGUGGAUUUUAGAUAAUGAUAUCAGUGAUCUGGGUUUAGAGCUGACCUUUUCAGUUGAGACUGAUGUAUUUGGAGCUAUGGAAGAAGUGCCAUUAAAGCCUGGGGGUGCGAGUAUACUUGUUACCCAGGAAAACAAGGCUGAGUAUGUCCAGCUUGUCACUGAACUUAGAAUGACAAGAGCCAUUCAACCUCAGAUAAAUGCCUUUUUACAAGGCUUCCAUAUGUUCAUUCCACCGUCUUUGAUUCAACUUUUUGAUGAAUAUGAACUGGAGCUUUUGUUGUCUGGUAUGCCGGAAAUUGAUGUGAAUGAUUGGUUAAAAAAUACAGAAUAUACCAGUGGCUAUGAGAGAGGAGACCAAGUAAUCCAGUGGUUCUGGGAUGUUGUGGAAGAACUAACUCAGGAAGAGAGAGUACUACUAUUACAGUUUGUUACUGGCAGUUACAGAAUCAUAGAAUAGAUGAAGUUGGAAGGGACCUCUGGUGAUUUUCAUCCAACUCCAUGCUCAAAGCAGGGUCAGUUAGAGCUGGAUGCUCAUGGUCUUGUCUGGUCUCCAAGGACGCUGCAACUUCUCUGGGCAACUUGUUCCAAUGUUUGACCACCCUCAGAGUCAGAGAGAAAAACAACACAAAACUACCCCUCAGGUCUAAAUGCAAUUUCCUGAGCUCUACUAUAUGUAUUCCCCCCUUCAGACAUUUAAACACAUUGAUCAGAUUUCUCUGAGUCUCCUUGCCAAACAGCCCCAGCUCUCUCUCCUCAUGUGGCAGGUGCUCCAGUCUCUUUGUGUCACUUUGCUCAUCUUGCUGCAGCAUGUCUUUGUCUCUCUUCUACUGGAGAGCACUUCCAAGUGUUACCCACCAGGGCUGAACAUGGGCAGGAUCACCUCUUGGCACUGUUCUCGAUGCAACCAAAGAGCCUGCUGUCCUUUGAUGCGAGAAUAUGUUGCUGGCUCACGUUCAACUUCAUUAGUUCUUAUUCUUUUGGUGCAGUUUCUAGACUUUUAAAACACAUUUGUAAUGAGGACUGUAAUAACAACAGGUUUUACAUUGUAAUGCAUACCAACUUAAGCUGAUACAAAUAUCUGAAUUUUACUGUGUCUCUGUUAGUUUAAAAUCUGGCAAGGAUGCUGAAGACUUCAAGUCUGUUAUCCAUUUACGCUUUAAUUAAUCCUGAGAAAUACAUUGAAAAUGAAAAAAAAUGAAUAAAAUCAUUAAGUGAGAAUGCAUUCCUGAAGAUGUUAGUGAUUUUUUUUGUGUGUGUGUGUAUUGUUUUGCCGUAGAUCAUCACCAGGUGAGAGUGUAUGCGACGGGAAGGUUUUAUUAGUUGACACCUGAAAUAUUAAAUCUGAAGUACUAAAUUAAAAGACAUAUCGAAACACUUGGGUCAGUUGAUCCACAGGCAGUAAAUGGAGAAUAAACCUUUUUGUAAUGCAGAACUUUAUUUAAUCUGUAAAUGUAAAGAAAUAUAAUAAGGUGUGAUAAAUGUAAUAAUGUAAUAAACUGAGGUAAUGGUCUAUUAUGAAAACUGGUUGAAGAAAUGCGCCUGCUUUGCAAACAGAAUUCUCCUGAAUAUUAUUCAAAUAAUUUGAUGUAUAAUACAAAAAAUUGUAAAUGCAAAUGAGUAUGUAAUUAAAAGUACUUAGACAAUGGGAACUUUGAUACUGGUGUGAGAAAGGGAGAACCUUGAUGAAAGUAUUAGUAAGUUAAGAGAUAUUUGCAGUGUUAGUAAUGUGUUUUUGGCUUAACUCUUCUUAUGAUGAUCUAAUUUCUGUGAGUAUUCUCAGUUCCAGAGUGCCUCAUGGUGGCUUUGCCCAUAUAAUGGGUGGGAGUGGACUGCAAAAUUUCACAAUUGCUGCUGUGCCAUAUACUGCGAACCUUUUACCAACUUCUAGCACAUGUAUCAACAUGCUCAAGUUACCUGAAUACCCAAGUA